UGGCGGCGAGUGGCGAACGGGUGAGUAAUAUAUCGGAACGUGCCCAGUAGUGGGGGAUAGCCCGGCGAAAGCCGGGAUUAAUACCGCAUACGACCUGAGGGUGAAAGCGGGGGAUCGCAAGACCUCGCGCUACUGGAGCGGCCGAUAUCAGAUUAGCUAGUUGGUGGGGUAAAGGCCUACCAAGGCAACGAUCUGUAGUUGGUCUGAGAGGACGACCAGCCACACUGGGACUGAGACACGGCCCAGACUCCUACGGGAGGCAGCAGUGGGGAAUUUUGGACAAUGGGCGCAAGCCUGAUCCAGCAAUGCCGCGUGCAGGAAGAAGGCCUUCGGGUUGUAAACUGCUCUUGUCGGGGAAGAAAUCUUCUGGGCUAAUACCCCGGGAGGAUGACGGUACCUGAAGAAUAAGCACCGGCUAACUACGUGCCAGCAGCCGCGGUAAUACGUAGGGUGCGAGCGUUAAUCGGAAUUACUGGGCGUAAAGCGUGCGCAGGCGGCUUUGCAAGACAGAGGUGAAAUCCCCGGGCUCAACCUGGGAACUGCCUUUGUGACUGCAAGGCUAGAGUACGGCAGAGGGGGAUUGGAAUUCCGCGUGUAGCAGUGAAAUGCGUAGAUAUGCGGA
rnacentral:rRNA from 1 species